rnacentral:lncRNA from 1 species
UUUUUUUUUUUUUGUGACGGAGUCUCGCUCUGUUGCCCCGGCUGGAGUGCAGUGGUGCUAUCUCAGCUCACUGCAGCCUCCGCCUCCCAGGUUCAAGUGAUUCUCCUGCCUCAGCCUCCCAAGUAGCUGGGAUCGCAGGGAUGUGCCACCAUAUCAGGCAAUUUUUUGUAUCUUUAGUAGAGAUGGAGUUUCACCAUGUUGGCCAGGUUGGUCUUGAAUUCCUGACCUCGUGAUCCGCCCACCUCGGCGUCCCAAAGUGCUGGGAUUACAGGCAUGAACCACCACACCCGGCCUUCUAUUUCACUCUUACUAAGCAGCUAAAUCUAUUCUUUUUAACUUACUCUCUGCUUCAUGUCCCUUUUCUCUACAAUUUCUUAAUGUUGGAUAAUGCCAGGAUUUAAUUGUUGAACAUUAUGAGCUGCCUCUCUGUCUACACUUACUCCUUUGGUUAUCUCAUCAGGGCAUCAAAUGCUGUCUUUAUGCUAGUAGCUCCCAAAUUUAUAGUUUUAGUUCAGCCUUCACUCCAAAAUUCCAAACUCUUAUACCCAAAUUCCUAGUCAUCAGGUCUACCUGUAUUUCUAAUAAAAAUCUAAAACUUACCAUGUACAAGACUGAAUUAAUAUUUUUGAGAUGAUAUUCCUACAUUUUUAAAUACCUGAUAUUCUUCCUACUGGUAUUCCAUAUCCAUUUUAAAAUUACAUCUCCAUUUUAAAAAAGACCUCACUCUGAAAUUCCAAGCUCUUAGUCAACAGCUCUACUUGUAUUUCUAUAAUAAUAAAAGUCUAAUAUUUACCAUGUCCAAGACUGAAUUCUUGCAAAAGCUACUUUACCUAAGCCUUCCUCUUCUCACUUGGAGUCAGCUUUGUUCUUUCAAGUGUCAAAACCUUAAGUCAUCCUGGACUCCUCUCUUUCUCAUACUUUACACCCAGUCUAACUGGAAAUUGAGUUGGUUCUAUCAUCAAAAUUGAUCCAUAUAUAUAUAGAUUCCCCAUAGUUCAUUCCUCUUGAGAGAAUACACACAUUCCUCUGUGUGUGUGUAUGUGUGUGUGUGUGUAUAUAUAUGUGUGUACACACACACAGACAGGUGAGUAUAUAAAUAAACAUAGUUGCAUAUAUACAUGAAGUGGUAGGUGGAAGAAUGCCCCCUCUCCAAAUAUAUUAGCAUUCUCAUCUUGGGCAAAUGUGAAUAUAUUACUUUAUGUGACAAAAGGGACUUUGCAGAUGUGAUUAAGUUAAGAGCCUUGAGAUGGGGAGAUUAACCUGGAUUAUCUGGGUGGGUCCAACAUAAUCACAAUGGUCCUUGAAAGAGUCAGAGGAGAAGCGACAACUAAAGCAGAGUGUCACAAUGAUGCAAUGGUGAUUUGAAGACACUGUGAUGCUGGCUUUGAAAUGGAAGAAAGUGUCUGAGUCAAGGAAUGCAGCCUCUAAAGGGUGGAAAAGGA